UUUGAGAACAUUUGAGAGUCAUAUCUGCAAUGUCCUUGAUUUGUUCCUUGUAAACAAAAGAAUACCAAAUCAUCUUGGAUCUGCUUCAGUAUAAACAUCUGAAGGUUAGAUCUGCCAUAUUUGAGAACGUCUGAGAGCAAAAUCUGCUAUGUCUUCGAUUUGUUUCUUGUAAACACAAGAAUACCAAACCAUCUUGGAUCUGCUUCAGUAUAAACAUCUGAAGGUUAGAUCUGUUAUAUUUGAGAACGUCUGAGAGUCAAAUCUGCUAUGUCCUCGAUUUGUUCCUUGUAAACACAAGAAUACCAAAUCAUCUUGGAUCUGCUUCAGUAUAAACAUCUGAAGGUUAGAUCUGCUAUAUUUGAGAACGUCUGAGAGUCAAAUCUGCUAUGUCCUCAAUUUGUUUCUUGUAAACACAAGAAUACCAAAUCAUCUUGGAUCUGCUUCAGCAUAAAUGUCUGAAGUCUAGAUCUGCUGUCUUCAAUUUGUUUCCCAUAAGCACAGGGAUGCCAUGUUGAAAUCUUUGAUCUUCAUUGUCCCCUAGAGGACAUGACCUGUAAGAUGAGUAUGUGCCUAUGCCUAAGUAUGCUAUGAUUGAAAUGAGUCGAAUGUCCUUAACAUGUUAUGAUGCAAAGUGCUGUGAAUAUGACCCCUAUCUCAGGUGUCAUCAUUCAUUCCUUCAUUUGUCUUUCUCAAAAUUUUAUUCUUACUCAACUUGUAGGCCUUCCUCCAAUGCUAUGAUCUAUUGAGGAUGUCUGUAAGAAUUGAAUCAUCCAUUUCUUUUUGGACUGGAAGAAAGAAAUCCCCUGAGUUCCUUCAUCCUUUACUUACGUGAAUUUCUCGAACAAUUGACCUGUUUUAGUUUCUUGUAUUAUCCAGAAAUUCCAAAGUAAUGUGCAAAACUUCGUUUGUGAAAAUAUUUUAGUUCAUCUAUCAUUAUUUCAAUGCAACAUACUUUAAAAAUAUCGGGAGAUGAGUAAAUCUUUGAGAAUAAUUGGAUUCGAAUUGUUAACAGUACAAAGGAAAUAAGUCUGAUAGCAUAUCUUUAAGAAGAAAUAGAAUCUAAAGAUACCAAACAGGAUAAAAAUUAGAUACUCUAAAUAUCGCCGCUUGAGCGUCUAUACAUUAGUUCCCCGAAGCCUUUCUUGAGUUCGACAUGUGUUUAAAAGAUCCAAAGUACUUUGUUGAUGCCCCAAUGUACAUUGUGCCUCACUCUCUGUCGAGUCAAAUAUAGCAAGGUUAUUGUGUGCCCUUCAAAAUUUGAGCUGCCCUUUCGGGUUUUCAACUCAAAAUCCCUUUGAUCACAAGGUGCCCUUUGUGGGUUUUCACCUUGGCCUCUCCAUUUUAUUUUAUUUUAUUUUGUUUUUUUUUCAAAAUUCAAGGCGCCUUUUGCGGGUUUUCACCUUGGAUUCUUUUCUCCUUUAGACAAAGUACUUUUUGACUGAGUCUGAGUUUACUGGAUUGGGUAGGCUCUUUCCAUCCAUUUCUGUCAAAAUCAACACACCACCAGAAAAAGCCUUCUUCAAGACGUAUGGCCCCUCCCAAUUCGGCAAUCAUUUUCCUCUAAAGUCCUUCUGAAUGGGAAGGAUUUUCUUUAGCACAAGGUCCCCCUCAUGGAAUUCCCUUGGACGAAUCUUUUUAUCAUAAGCUCGCAUCAUACGCUUCUGGUACAUCUGACCAUGUCGGAUAGCCUUCAGCCUGUUUUCCUCAAUCAAGUUUAGCUGGUCAUAUCGAGACUGAACCCAUUCAGCUUCAUCUAACCUUAUCUCUAUUAAAAUUCGGAGAGAAGGGAGUUGCCCCAGUAGAAGUUCUAACAGAUGUUCGAUAGGCCAAGAGUGCAAACGGUAGCUUUUCAUGCCAAUCCCUAUAAGUCUCAAUCAUCUUUCCCACUAUUUUCUUAAUGUUCUUAUUGGCAGCCUCCACUGCCCCAUUCAUCUUUGGACGAUAGGGUGAAGAGUUGUGAUGCUUGAUUUUGAACUGGUCGCAAAUCUCUGCUAUCGUUUUGUUGUUCAAAUUCAAUGCAUUGUCGGAUAUGAUCCUCUCAGGCAUUCCAUACUGACAAAUGAUUUCCUUCUUCAAAAAUCGACUUACAGCUGACUUAGUAACAUUCGCGUAAGAAGCAGCCUCUACCCAUUUUGUAAAGUAGUCAAUCACUACGAAAAUAAACCGAUGUCCAUUCGAAGCUUUCGACGAUAUUGGUCCGAUGACAUCCAUGCCCCACAUGGAAAAUGGCCAUGGAGACAUCAUGACAUGUAAAGGUGAGGGUGGAACAUGAACUUUGUCCCCACAAAUCUGACAGUUAUGGCAUUUUUUGGCAUAGUUGAUACAGUUUCCUUCCAUAGUGGCCCAGUAAUAGCCAAACCUCAUGAUUUGUCUUGCCAUCGUGAACCUAUUUGCAUGCGUACCACAUACACCUUCAUGAACCUCUUCUAAAAUUAGCUUGGCUUCCAUAGUAUCGACACAUCUCAAAAGUACUUGGUCUUUCCUUCUCUUGUACCGAACAUCCCCGUCCAAAACAUAGUCACAAGCUAACCUUCUCAGGGUUCGUUUGUCAUUUUCGGAUGCCUGUGCUGGAUAUUUACGAUCUCUUACAUAUCGCAAUGUAUCCUGAUACCAAGGAUUGUCAUGCUUUUCUUCCUCUUCAAGGUUACAACAGCUAGCUGGAAAUUCAUAGACACUCAUUUGAAUUGGUCUCAUCUCUUCCUUUUUGUUUGCCUUAAUCAUUGAAGCCAAGGUUGCUAAAGCAUCUGCCAUCUGAUUCUCAUCUCGUGGGAGAUAGUUGAAGGUGAUGUCAUCGAACUCUCUUAGUAACCCCAAAACUACCAUUCGAUAAUUGAUCAAUUUAUGGUCUCUUGUCUCUCAUUCACCUCUUACUUGAUAGAUUACCAACGCAGAAUCUCCAUAUAUUUCUAGGGUCUUUAUGCCUCUUUCUAUGGCUGCUUGGAGCCCUAUGAUGCAUGCUUCGUAUUCAGCCAUAUUAUUUGUACAGUCAAAAUCCAACUUGCAUGUGAAUGGGUAAUGGUCGCCAUUCGGGGAUACCAAGACUGCCCCAAUUCCAUUUCCUACUGCAUUAGAAGCCCCUUCAAAAUUUAGCUUCCAUGGAGAAUCUUCAGUUGCUACUAUACACAUUAACUCCUCAUUUGGAAAAUCAAAAUUCAAUGGCUCGUAAUCCUCCAAAGCUCUACUGGCCAAGAAGUCUGCCACCGCACUUCCUUUGAUAGCCUUCUGACUUACAUAGACUAUAUCGAACUCUGAAAGCAAAAUUUGCCAUCUCGCCAUUCUUCCAUUUAGAGCCGUUGAUUCCAUCAUGUAUUUUAAUGGAUCUAGUUUUGAGAUGAGCCAAGUAGUAUGGUAUAGCAUGUACUGUCUUAAUCUCCGUGUGGUCCAAAUCAACGCACAGCAUAAUUUUUUGAUUGGCGAAUAUCUCAUUUCACAGUCAGUGAAUUUCUUACUGAGAUAAUAAAUUACCUUUUCCCUUUUCCUUGACUCGUCAUGCUGACCAAGCACACAUCCCAUAGAAUUGCUGAACACUGACAAGUAUAGUAUUAACGGUUUAUCUGGACUAGGCGGAGAUAACACUGGAGCAUUCAACAAAUAUUCCUUGACUUUCUCAAAAGCAUUCUGGCAUUCUUCAUCCCAAGUACCUUGAUUGUGCUUUCUGAGAAGACGAAAGAUAGGAUCACAUUUCUCAGUCAAUUGUGAAACGAAAGAUAGGAUCACAUUUCUCAGGCAACUCCCGUAUGGCUCUGACCUUGUCUGAGUCAACUUCAAUUCCCUUUUCACUGACUACGAAGCCUAAUAACUUCCCCGAUCUGGCUCCAAAGGUGCACUUUGCUGGAUUGAGCUUCAACUGAAAUUUUCUCAACCUUAAGUACAAUCUUCUCAAGACCUCAAUGUGUUCUUUUUCUGUUCGCGACUUGGCAAUCAUAUCAUCAACGUAUACCUCAAUAUCCUUAUGCAUCAUGUCGUGAAACAAGUUUACCAUGGCUUGUUGGUAUGUUGCCCCUGCGUUCUUCAACCCAAACGACAUUACUUUAUAACAAAAGGUGCCUCACAAUGUUAUGAAAGUAGUUUUAUCCAUAUCCUCUGGAUGCAUCUUUAUCUGAUUGUAUCCUGAGAAGCCGUCCAUGAAGGAGAACAACGAGUAUCCCGCUGUGUUGUCUACUAAAGUGUCGAUGUGUGGUAGAGGAAAAUUAUCCUUUGGGCUUGCUUUGUUUAGAUCUCUGUAAUCAACGCACAUUCGUACCUUCCCGUCUUUCUUAGGGACAGGUACAAUAUUAGCUACCCAUUCAGAGUACUUCACUUUCUGCAAAAAUCCUGCAUCAAACUGCUUCUUGACUUCAUCUUUUAUUUUCAGGACAAUGUCUGGCCUCAUCCUUCGCAACUUCUGUUGGACCGGUUUACAUUCUUAUCUUAUCGAAAGACGAUGUACUACAAUGUCAGUACUCAAUCCGGGCAUAUCCUGAUAAGACCAUGCAAAGAUAUCCUUGAAUUCCUGAAGCAACUCAAUUAAGCUACGCCUUGUGUCAUUAGCGAUCAGUGUUCCAAUUUUCACCUCCUUCCCUUCCUCUAGGGCUAUAUUCUCUAUUGCCUCUUUUUCAUGUGGCAUGAUUUGUUUCUCCUCCUGUUUUACCAUUCUUAAUAGAUCUAGAGAUACGUCACAAUCUUCAAAAUCCUGAGGCUCCUCUAAACACAUGUCUUGCUCACAAGAGAAAUCAGGAGCAGCAGUAUUAGCGCUCAUAUCAUUGAUAUCUAGAGACCUGUGAGGGGUAUGAAAGAAUAUACAAAGAAUGAAUGAAUUUAAGAAUGAUCGUUUAUGCGCUAUAAAUAAAAGAAUAAGAGUUGUUAGAAUUUAAAGGAAUAUUGGUUGAUAAAAAUGAAGCAAUACUCUUUUAAAUUGAUAAAAAUUAUGUUUUAUUUGAAUAAUAACAGAUGAACAUAAGCCUAUUUUCACAAACAUAAUCUUACUACUCCUAGGCCCUAGAGUAAUAAACAUGUUUCGAGAAUUACUCUGAAAAAUUUCUAAAGACUACAGGAAGAUCCUCCGCAGUCCAAUUAUUUAGAGAGCUCCCCGGUUCGUAAGGGCGAAUACCCUCAAAGUUUUCCUGUCCAAACCAAUCACUAUGUACAACAUUGAUUUGAUGACUCUCUUCUACCAGCAACCCUCCUGACUUAAAGGUUGUGGAUAUAGGUGGGAAUGUCAUCAGUUCCCACGCUACUUCUCAUCCGUUCAAACGCGACUUCCUUCUUGCUUGACGCUUUUCCAUCUCCUGUCUCUUUUGUUUAUGGUCUGGCUUAAAACCCAAACCAAAGCGAUCCUUCUUCUCUAUCAAUUUUGGGACUUGAAUCCCUCUUUGCAACUGUUUUCCUAGUCCUUUUUCCUGGCAAUGCUCCUUUCCCCAUCAUUAUUUGCAGGGCCAUCCUUGUUGCUCUAGACAUUUUGGGAACCGGCACCUCGCUUCCCUCCGAAAUGAAGGUAGCAUUAACAAUUUCGAAGGAACAAAAAGAACACUCGAUAGCCUCCUCAUUUGUCUCCACAUAAGGAGGUUUACUAGUGACGGCUACUAUGAUGUCCUCCUCUGGAUUGAUGGUUAUCAAGCGUCCAUCUGUCACCAACUUCAAUUUUUGGUGCAGUGAAGAAGGCACCACUCCUGCCGAGUGUAUCCAUGGCCUCCCCAACAAACAAUUAUAGGAGGGCUUGAUAUCCAUUACCAGGAAGUCAACUUCAUACGUAUUUGGUCCAAUCUCCAGAGGGAUGUCAAUUCGUCCUAUUACUUUCCUUUCAGUUCCGUCAAAGGCUCUUACCACAUUAUGACAUGUCUUCAUGUGUGAACUGUCGAUGGGUAAUCUGUUCAAUGUAGAUAAUGGAAGGACGUUCAAAGCGGACCCAUUAUCAACGAGUACACUUGGAAGCGUGUAUCCUUUGCAACGAGUGGUGAUGUACAAGCUUUAGUUGACCCUAUGCCUCCAGGUGGAAUUUCAUCAUCAUUGAAGUAGAUGAAAUUAUCAGCACAGAUGUUAUUUAUCAACCGGUCCAACUUAUUGGCAGAUAUAUCAUGAGUGACAUAUGUCUCGUUGAGUACCUUCAACAAUGCUUCUUGAUGCACUUCAGAGCUUAGCAGUAAGGUUAAAAUCGAUAUGCGUGCUGGUUGUUUACGCAACUGCUCGACCACACUAUACUCACUAUGCUUAAGGAACUUUAGAAAUUCCUUAGCUUCCUCCUCCCUCACUGGCUCGUUAACAGGUACUUCACUCUUUUUCUCAAUUUUAACAUUCUUGGGUUUUGUGGGCUCCACUCUGACUUCCCCCAUAUCAUAACGCUUCCUGCUCCGCUUAUGGGAACCUUCAUCUCGUACAUCUUUAGAUGCGCUGGCUAUGUUUCCUUCUCUCGGUACCGUCACGCUACAGUCAUAACUCCAUGGUACUUUCUUGCUAUCCUUGUAAGGGAAAAGAGUAGGUGUAUGGAUAACAACCUUGGGCACUGCUGGUGUCCCCAUUUCAUUAUUCCCUGGCAGGGAGAUAAUGGUCCUUGGUCUACUGGUUCUUUGCUGUUCAUUUUCCAGCACACAUACUUGCUUUUCACUAGAGCUACCUUCAUAAACCUGUAGCUCUUUGUUGUCUAUGAAGCCUUGCACCAAGGCCUUGAAUUCCUCGCAAUCUUCACGGAACUCACCGUAGUCCCACGUUCUUUCUUUCAUUUUUUUAGAGGUCAACAUACCUCUCUUCAUCAUCUUCUCCCAGAUUACCCUCAUAGGCAUCCUUAUCUCAUCAACAUUUUUCUUUUCCCUUUUUUUACCGACUUCACCAAUGGCAUUUACUCUCUGAUUGUUAUGGUUCGGCAAAGGAUUCUCAAUAUUUGAGGUACUCUCAAAUUUUAAAACCCCAUUCUUGAUCAACCUCUCUACGGCUUUCUUGAAUCCAGUACAAUUCUCGAUUGAGUGCCCCGAUAUUCCAGCAUGAUACUCACAUCUGGCAUUUGCAUCAUACCAUUUAGGAUACGGAGGUUGUAAUGGUUUUAAAUGGAAAGGGGCUAUAGCAUGUGUAUCAUAUAGAUUUUGAUAGAGCUCCCUAUACGUCACAGGUAUAGGCGUAAAUUGUAUCCUCUCAUGCCUAAUGUUGGAUUCCUACUUUUGUUGACCAACUGUGGCUACUUUGGGCUGGCUAACUGUGACUGCUUUUGAAUUAAAAUCACUUGUAUUGUUUACCUCAUUGUCUUUUCUUCUUGGGGCUGAUCUUUUGGCUACUUCCCCCUCAAUUCUUCCUCCUCUUAUGGCAUUCUCUAUCAUCUUUCCUGCCAUAACUAUGUCCGCAAAACUUUUAGUAAUGCUUCCAAUCAUAUGAGUAAUAAAUGGGGCUUUCAGAGUAUUAAUAAAUAGCAUAGUGCCCUCCUUCUCUAACAGUGGUGGUUGAACCUGCAUCACUACCUCUCUCCACCUCUGUGCAUAUUGCCUAAAAUUCUCAUUAGGCUUCUUCUCCAUGUUUUGUAGGGUAAUCCUGUCAGGGGUCAUGUCUGUUACAUGAUUGUACUGUUGCAUGAAGGCUUGUGCAAGAUCCCUCCAUGAACUUAUUCUAGCCCGGCUCAACUGAUUGUACCAUCUAGCUGCCGCUCCUAUCAAACUAUCUUGAAAACAAUGGAUCAACAGCUGAUCAUUGUUUACAUACCCCGUCAUCCUUCUGCAAAACAUUGUGAUAUGGGCCUCUGGGCAAGUAGUGCCAUUGUACUUUUCAAAUUCUGGCAUUUUGAAUUUGUGAGGUAACACUAGGUUUGGACCAGACUUAAGUCUUUGGCAUCAAUCCCAUGAUUAUUGCCAGUGCCUUCCAAAGCCUUGAACUUUUCUUCUAACUAUCUGUAGCAUUCAUCCAAUUGCCUUGCAGCUUCGGCCUUCAAAUCCUCUUUUUCCACCAUAUCUAGAUCGGGAACAAGAGGAUUAGUAAGAUUGUCACCCAUAUUAAGCCCUGAACCAACCAGUAAAUUCACAUGGACACCAGCAUCAAUUGGCCCAUGCUAAGGCCUCACAGUAGUCGAUGGCCUUCUAAGAGGUGCCUCAGUUUGCAAUGAUACAUGCGGCGGUGUAAAACCUGGAGGAGGACCCUCAUUUUCCUCUUCAGUGAUGGCCAUAGGAGCAUUUCCUUUAUCAGUGGCCCUCAGUAACUGAGCCAUUUCGGCCAUUAUAUUCCUCUGAGCUUCCAUUAUUUGCUCCCUCAUCUCAUUCUGCAUUUUAGCCAACUGGUCUUGCAUAUCCUUUUGCAACUGCUCAAACCUUUGAUCCAUGUUCUUAGUUUUAGUGCGAGUGCCGUAAGGAUGUGUGAUUUCUAGUUUUUCUUUUCUACCUUUAUAAAGAAACUUUAACUAAUUAGGGUCUUUCUAUAACCUUGAAUGCAUAUGAUAAGAUGUAAUGCAAAUGUAUGAAUGCAACAAAGGCAUCAAUCUCGAUUCAAUCUCAUUUAGAAAACUUUAUUUAGAAAAAGAAUAUCUUUACAUAUAAAUGGAUUACAAGUACGCUUUCGCCCUAAUGCCCAAAGUUUUAACUCUAUCUAAUAAAAGGGCUAACUCUCUUCCUAUGUCUGAUGACGACCCACACAUCAUACUCAAUACAUCGGCUCGUACUGCCAAGUCUUGCACAUAUUCAGCGACCUCUCGAAUCUGAGCUAUGGCUUCUCCCAUGACAUGAUCCCUUUCUCUAAUCUGCCCACUAGACUAAUGAAGCUCUCCCUUUAGAUAAUCUCCUUGCGUUUCGAGUUGCUCGAUCUGAAGUUUACCUUCCUGCAAUGCUGCUUCCAAAUCUUCAACUUUACUCUUUAGCUCUUUUAACUCGACCGUAGAAUCAUGGUUGCGAUGCCAACGAAGGGAUCUUCCAAGCUCAGUUAUUUUAAACUUCAACCCUUUAUUCUCUUCUUCUAAUGCCAAAUUCCGCGGUUGCAUCUCCUAAAACUUCUUCUCCCAAUACUCAGCUCUAGCCUUUCCUUCUUAGAUCUCUUUCUGCAACUGAUCUGAAGACCUUCCUAUUUUCGCUCUUCUCAAAGAUACCUGUGCCUUUUUGUAGUGUUCCUUCAAAUCAUCUCUAUCCUCUUCAAUUUUCCUCUUUUCCUUUCUUUCUUUCUCGACCUCCAUCUUCUGGACAUCGAUAUCUAAACUUAAGUACAUCUUUUCUUCUUCGAGCUUUGCUAUCCUUUUCUCAAGCUCCAAAUUUUUCCUCUCAAAUUCUUGCUUCAUAAUUUCUAACUCCGAGGGCAUCACUUGCAGAUAUUCCUCCAUCGGUCGAGUUCCUUCCAUACUUGGCUCAGGAAUAUUAUCAUUGAUCCUUCUACCUCUCCAUUCAACAUAUUCUGGAGUCGUAGCAGGGCCAAUAGCUACUCCUUUCAACCGACACGUCUUGUUCCAACUGCUAGAGAUCUCACCGACCCUUUUUUUUGUAAUCGGCUCCUCUAUAUGCGAACUCACUUUGAGUUAGCCCAUGAGUUGCUGGCACGAACUGCCUCAAACCGAAUUGCCUUAACACGAGCAAGGGGGCAUAACCAAUGGCACCCCAAAUUCCCAAUAAAGGGACCCAAUCGAAACUGCCGCAACGGUAAAGAAUCUCACCAGGAAUCAUCCACGGAGCUCUCUACUCAACAUCUUUCGACUGAAGAUUUUGAAGUAGUGCAAUCCAAUUCUCCUCUAGAACAUCAACUCUCCUAAUUGAAGCUACUAUGUCCUUCAGCGGUGAGUAAUCCUCGAAGAAAACCCGACAAACGACCUUAUCUAUCAACCGAAAAUGACUAUAGAACCAAGCUAGAAGCAAUUGUGCACAGCCAACAAACCUGCCUGCACCAGCUUUCCAACAUGUGCCUAAGGACCUGAAUGUCUCUGCCAAAAUUGCAGGGACAGAGGUGACCCUCUUACUGAGUUUAUGGAAAAGAUCCGUGGUUGCCUCAUCCACAUAUCCCAAAACUCUAGGGAACACCAUCAAUCCGUACAAACUUAAGGUAAAAACAUCUACCCUCUUUGCUUCAUCAGGGUGUGUCAAGAUCAGACCCUUCAAAGCAUCCCAUGAAAUGCACUUGCACUCGCCCUUCUCUUUACUUCUGGCAGUAAUCCAUUGCUCACUCAUCCCUGUAAUAGUCAUCAAUUUCUUCCAAAAGGUAGGGACAUUAACAGCUCGAGAAUAGAUUCUAUCAACCUGGAACCUAAGACAACGUAACAAGGCAGUGUAUUCCUCUACGGUGGGCACCAAGUCUACCUCCCCAAAAGUAAAGCAACUGUACGCUGGAUUCCAAAACUGAGCGAGGGCUCGGAACAAGUGCUCAUCUAUUUGAACAUUGAGCAAGUAAGGUAAAUCUCUGUAAUUACCAUAGAAUAACUGUUUAGUCUCGUUGCCCUAUUGAUCCCAAAUCUCCUUAAGCUCUUGGAAAUUAUUCUGCGUGACACUCAUGCGAGUAUAUCCUGAUAGCUCCGACAUAUAUCCCGCAGCUAUACUAUCUCCCUUUUCUAAUUGAGUUUGCUCAGACCAUCUAUGGACGUUGGCGUUGCCCUCCACUCUAUCAAGAAGUCCGUUCUCCAUAAUAAAACUCUCUAACUUAGAAACUGACCGUGAAUCGAUACCUUUGUAAAUGCAAAAUGUCAUGCAAACAAAAGAAAAGAAAUAGUCAGUAUCCCAUGAUAUCAAUAAAUCUCAACAAUAGUUUAUAAGGGUAAUAUCUAAAGUUUAACUCUAACUAAGUUGGGCUCUUACGGUUUUUUCUAUAUGAGGUUGGUUCUAAAGUUUGAGGUACCUGAACCAGCAGAUUCCUCGAUCCUCACCCAUUAUAGGCUCAUUUGAAUCGAGUUCAGUUCAGGGGGAUACAUUUCCCUAUGGCUACACAGAGAUGAAAAUCUCACGAAACCAUAGGUACGGAUGUAUCCCAAAAGUGAUCCACUAUCCUGCACGGAGGCAAAAACCUCACGAAGGCAUAGCUUCUCACUCCCACUUAAGGGUGUGACCACAACGGUCAUGCAAAUGCAAUGCGUAUUAGAAUAUAGCAACACAUGCAAUAAUGCAAACGCAUGUAAUGCAAAGAGGAUUAAAUCUUAAAUUUUUUUAAAUUUCCAACAUUAAGACAAGAGAUAAUCAAUUACACGGCUUGACUCUCUUAAACGUCCCCAGUGGAGUCGCCAAGCUGUCGAAACCUUUUUUAAAUCGAGUUUUGGAAAAUGGGAAUUGACUUUAAAAAUGAAAACAGGAGUCGCCACCAAUCUUUUUAGGUGUGAUUGGAUCACCUUUAAAACAUUUGUUUUAAAAUUGUUGGUUUUGGUCUACGAAAUCAAAAGAAUGGGUUUAGGAGCCGGUUACGUACGAGGAAGGGUUAGCACCCUCGUAACGCGCAAAAAUUGGUACCUAAUUGAUUAUCAAAAUGUCUCUAAUGUCGGAAAUUAAAAAUUUUAAGAUGUAAUCCUCUUUAAAGUAUUUGAAAACCUGGGUUUACUUGUAUCAAAGUAUUGUCUAUAAGUUAGCCUUUUAGAAAUCCCUAUCUCAAAACAGCAAAAUAAAAUACUACAUCCAGUAAGUUAGGACAUAUCACUUUGCAAUUCCAAGACAGUCACUUAUAUUUUUAAAUCCUUUAAAAACCUUAGAAGGGUACUUGACUAUCCGAACUUAACGAGAAAAGUUGCAACCCAAUAAGUUAGGGCACUACUUUUUCGAAAUUUCCAAACUUCAAGCAUUGCCUUUAUAUUUUUUUUGAAAAUUUUGGAGCCUUGUCUUUUUAAAGAUUAUGUGUGGAGAAUUGUACUACAUUAUAAAUCAUAAUAAUAUAUAUGUAUAACAUGUAUUUAAAAUGAAUAAACAAAAUAUAUAAACAUACGAAAUAAUAUUUAAAUGAUGCAUGAUAUAUAAAAAAAACAUAAUCAAAUAAUGUGUGGUAUACAAAUAGAAGAAAUAUAGUGCCAAUUUGCAUAUAAUUAUAAUAAAAAUAAACUUAACACAUACAUGAUACAUACAAUAUAAAACAUAUAGAAGAACUAAUAUAAAAAAAAGUAAUUGAUUGCUAACAAAAUAUACAUACAAUUAAAAACAAGACAUUUCAUAACCAUUUUAAAAUAGUAUUUAAUAGAUAAUAUAAUAACAAGAAUAAAAGAAUAGUAAUUAUAUGAUAAUAUAUUGGUUUAGGAGUAUGUAAGAGAUUUCAUAAUAUAACAAUAUUAGUUUAAAAUGAAAUAAUAUAUAGUAAAUAAAUAAUUAAUUAAUAAAAAUAUGUAUAUAGUGUGGGUUAAAAAAUAUGAUUUAAUAAUAAUAAUUUACAUUUUUAAAAUAAUAUAUAUAAUGUAAUCAUAAAUAAUAUAAUUGGCGAUACAUGAUAUACAUAACAUAUAUAUAAAAAAACAAUAAAUAAAAAAAUAUUAUAUAAUAAAAUGUAAUAUAAAUAUAUAUGAAAUAUAAUAGAUAUAAUAUAAAAUAACAUGUAAAACAAUAUAUAUAUAAAUAAUUAAUAAAUAUAUAAUAUAUGUGAAAAUAUAAUAUUAAUUUGAGGAAAAUAAUAUAUAAUAGUAAUAUAUAUAAAAAUAACACUUUUAAUAAUUUUAAUGUAUAAAAGUAAAAUUAAAAUAAAUCAAAUAUUAAUAUAAAAAUAUAUAGAAAUAAAAAAAUUAGGACUAAAUUUAAAGUUUUGUAAAAUUACGGGGCAAAUUUAAAAAGCUAAAACUGAAUUAAGGCCCGAUUUGAAACACCCAAAACGUCACCGUUUCCCCUAAUACGAUUCUAAAUCAUUGGGAGGGUCGAAUUAAAAUAGAAUUAAAAUAUUAAUACCAAAUUAAAAAAUAAAUAAAAUGAAAUUAAAAGUAUAAAUAUUGCGAGAGGACCAAUUGGGUAAUUAACCCAAUUCUCAAAAAUACGCGGAUCCUCCCCGGGUAAUCAGGUCAACGCGCGGAUCCUAUAGUUGUAAAACGACACCGUUUUAAAUAGACUAUAUAAGUCAAACUUCGCCCCUAAAAAUCAUUUUAACAUCCGUUUUUAAGAAAAAAAAAAGAAAAAUCUCUGGAAAAGGAUUCGGGGGCCGAUCCCGGAGCUGCUGAGCCUCCGUCCAGGGGUCUCCUCACGCGCUCACGUGCCGUCCUGUACGGUGGUCUGAGGGUUAAAGUCCUUGUCCUUCCACAGGAAAUCUCUUCCCCUUUUUAAAAGUUACUAUUUUUUUUGCUAAAAUGAUGUACAUACAUUCAUAUGUUCUAAAAUAAUAAAAAAAACACAGUUAAAUCACCUUUUCUUUGAAACUGCUUGUAUUCUUUUUUUAUUUCUGUAUCCGUAAUUGUUACAAGGGUUACAAAGGCUUUUUAUAGCCUACUGAUUUGUUACAUAAGGAAAGAAAUCUCUGAUUUCUUGUCUAUUGUAUCUUUGGCCAUUAUCUGCUAAGUUUCUUUUUCGUUUUGCAGGUACCCCGACAAUCUCUGCGUUAACAGUGGUACCAAAACCAGAAGGGAGACCUGAGAUCACGGUGCUGGACCGUCGCAAGGGGGACGAACGCAUUGAUGGCGCGUCAAUGCAUUGAUGGCCACGAUCUGGAGAGUUGAAUCGACGCUCCCCGAAGUUUCCAGAAGCUGUUGCGGCGCUGUAGGGAGAGAGAGCUAGGAUUAGAAACCCUAGCUGAUGGUGUUAGGUUCUGGGCCUCUAAGAGCUUGGGUCAAUUGGGUCUAGUUUAGGUCUAGGUCUGUAACGGGUAUUGGGUUGUAACCGGGUUUAGGUUUAUUUAAUUUUUGGGCUUACGGGUUAGUGGGCCAUGGUAUUUGGGUCCUGUAAAGGUUUAAAUGGACUAUUUAAAUAAACACUCUAUUUAUUUUAAAGCUCGGUCAAAUUUAGGCUGUUACAGCUGCCCCUCUUUUCUCAUUGCUAUGUAAUAGGAAUCGAUCAAAGACUCAUAGAAAAAACCAAAUUUGACCGGCCUUAUGGUAUUCAACCCUUUUUCAUGACUACCAUGUUGAUAUCUUCGAUCUGCUAAUUGUCGAACAUAGAGAUAUCGAAUCUGGCUCUUCAAUUUGUAGGGAUGCCGAAUCAACUUGAAUCCGUUUGAGAAUGUUUGAGAGUUAUAUCUACCAGUCCUCGAUUUGUCCCUUGUAAGCACAAGGAUGCCAAACCAUCUUGAGUUUUUUUGAGAACAUUUGAGAGUCAUAUCUGCAAUGUCCUAGAUUUGUUCCUUGUAAGCACAAGGAUGCCAAACCAUCUUGAGUCUGUUUGAGAAAAUUUGAGAGUCAUAUUUGCAAUGUCCUCGAUUUGUUCCAUGUAAACACAAGAAUACCAAAUCAUCUUGGAUCUACUUCAGUAUAAACAUCUAAAGGUUAAAUCUGCCAUAUUAGAGAACAUCUGAGAGCCAAAUCUGCUAUGUCUUUGAUUUGUUUCUUGUAAAUACAAGAAUACCAAAUCAUCUUGGAUCUGCUUGAGUAUAAACAUCUCAAGGUUAGAUCUGUUAUAUUUGAGAACAUCUAAGAGUCAAAUCUGCUAUGUCCUCG
rnacentral:lncRNA from 1 species